GAAGCGGCAAAAGCUCAAAUUUGAAAUCUGGCACUUUCAGUGUCCGAGUUGUAAUUUGAAGAAGGUAUCUUUGGGUCUGGCUCUUGUCUAUGUUUCUUGGAACAGAACGUCACAGAGGGUGAGAAUCCCGUGCGAUGAGAUGUCCCAGACCUAUGUAAAGUUCCUUCGAAGAGUCGAGUUGUUUGGGAAUGCAGCUCUAAGUGGGUGGUAAAUUCCAUCUAAAGCUAAAUAUUGGCGAGAGACCGAUAGCGAACAAGUACAGUGAUGGAAAGAUGAAAAGAACUUUGAAAAGAGAGUGAAAAAGUACGUGAAAUUGUUGAAAGGGAAGGGCUUGAGAUCAGACUUGGUAUUUUGUAUGUUACUCUCUCGGGGGUGGCCUCUACAGUUUACCGGGCCAGCAUCAGUUUGAGCGGUAGGAUAAGUGCAAAGAAAUGUGGCACUGCUUCGGUAGUGUGUUAUAGUCUUUGUCGAUACUGCCAGCUUAGACUGAGGACUGCGGCUUCGGCCUAGGAUGUUGGCAUAAUGAUCUUAAGUCGCCCGUCUUGAACCACGGACCA
rnacentral:rRNA from 1 species